rnacentral:rRNA from 1 species
CUACGGGGGGCUGCAGUGGGGAAUAUUGGACAAUGGGGGAAACCCUGAUCCAGCAAUGCCGCGUGUGUGAAGAAGGCCUGCGGGUUGUAAAGCACUUUCGGUUGGGAGGACUGCUUCUAGCACUAAUAUUGUUGGAAGUUGACGUUACCUUCAGAAGAAGCACCGGCUAACUCCGUGCCAGCAGCCGCGGUAAUACGGAGGGUGCAAGCGUUAAUCGGAAUUACUGGGCAUAAAGCGCGCGUAGGCGGCUAGAUCAGUCGGGUGUGAAAGCCCCGGGCUUAACCUGGGAACUGCAUCCGAUACUGUCUAGCUUGAGUACAGGAGAGGAGAGUGGAAUUCCAGAUGUAGCGGUGAAAUGCGUAGAUAUGUGGAGGAACACCAAUGGCGAAGGCAGCUCUCUGGCCUGAUACUGACGCUGAGGUGCGAAAGCGUGGGGAGCAAGCAGGAUUAGAUACCCCGGUAGUC